GAUGAAGAACGUAGUGAAAUGCGAUAAGUAAUGUGAAUUGCAGAAUUCAGUGAAUCAUCGAAUCUUUGAACGCACCUUGCGCUCUUUGGUAUUCCGAAGAGCAUGCCUGUUUGAGUGUCAUGAAAAUAUCAACCUUGACUUGGGUUUUGUGCUCUAGUCUCGGCUUGGAAUUGGGUGCUUGCCGCUUUUACGAGCGGCUCACCUUAAAUGUAUUAGCUGGAUCUGUCUUUGAGACUUGGUUUGACUUGGCGUAAUAAGUAUUUCGCUAAGGACAUUCUUCGGAGUGGCCUCGUUUCUAGGACGCUUGUCCGCUUUCCAAUACAAGUUCCACCUCGUGGACAUGACUUUUUAUUAUCUGGCCUCAAAUCAGGUAGGACUACCCGCUGAACUUAAGCAUAUCAAUAAGCGGAGGA
rnacentral:misc_RNA from 1 species